AUUGAACGCUGGCGGCAGGCCUAACACAUGCAAGUCGAACGGUAACAGAAAGCAGCUUGCUGCUUUGCUGACGAGUGGCGGACGGGUGAGUAAUGUCUGGGAAACUGCCUGAUGGAGGGGGAUAACUACUGGAAACGGUAGCUAAUACCGCAUAACGUCGCAAGACCAAAGAGGGGGACCUUCGGGCCUCUUGCCAUCGGAUGUGCCCAGAUGGGAUUAGCUAGUAGGUGGGGUAAAGGCUCACCUAGGCGACGAUCCCUAGCUGGUCUGAGAGGAUGACCAGCCACACUGGAACUGAGACACGGUCCAGACUCCUACGGGAGGCAGCAGUGGGGAAUAUUGCACAAUGGGCGCAAGCCUGAUGCAGCCAUGCCGCGUGUAUGAAGAAGGCCUUCGGGUUGUAAAGUACUUUCAGCGGGGAGGAAGGGAGUAAAGUUAAUACCUUUGCUCAUUAACGUUACCCGCAGAAGAAGCACCGGCUAACUCCGUG
rnacentral:rRNA from 1 species